GGGGUAAGGGAGGUCGAGUUUUACUGACACACCUUCAAAAAAAGCCCCCAAAAUCAGUGAGUUUCUGGGCGAUUAAUGAUUUAAAUUAAAAACCCGGCAGCCAAUGGAUGAAAGCAAAUAGGAAACAUCAACAACUGCUGAGCAGCAACCUACCACACUGAAAAGUUUUGCAGAGGAUUUGGACUGUGCAGUCCCCUGUUGUCUCGCCUGCGGUUGACUGGAUGAGGGCUGUUGGGCUUUGUCCCCUCUGAUAUUCUGUCACAGCUGCGAUGGGGUGAAAUUUGUCAACCUGGCAACAUACCAGAUUUGGAGAUUCCCAGCUGUUGCAAGGAUUACCACAGACCUGACCGUGAACACCGUUGACACCCACCUGAGGGAGACGCUGGCUAAGAUCUGGCAGUGACAGUGUUUUUAUUAAUACUUUGACUCCGAAUAUAAACGUUUUUCUGGCCCUGCUGGAGAACGCCUUCAUCAACUACAUCUUCUUUUGAAGAGGCCCUCAGAUGCUGCAAUCUCUGACUUUAGGGAGGAACUGCUACUUGGAUUUAUAUGAGUUAGGCUUUAUAACUACUAUUGGUAGUAUUGGUGGUAUUGAUAGUAAUGCGACUAGUAGUAGUAGUGGUAGUGCACUAACUACUGCUGCUGAUACUGGCACUGCUACUACAACUUGUAAUACUAUUACAAAUGCGGAUACUACUUUUGCGACUCUAGCGGCUAUUUAUACCACUACUGCUGCUUGUACUUUUAGUAUUACUACUUCUGCUUGUACAACUAUACUACAGCUACUAUUAAUCGUCUGGUAUUUGGUUGUCAAGCUGCUAGCUCGCGUUAGUGCUUUGCUAGUGACUACUAGUUAGCUCUCACCUAUGGAAAGUUAUUCCAAGUUUCCUUGUCUCAAUCAUAUGACGUAGUGUGUAACUGUAUGCAGCACAGUGAGACGGCAUAUUUGUUUCCUUUUUCACGCCGUCCGCAUCAACAGAAUGCACUGAGGCUUUGCCCCCACUAGCUUAGCGUUGUCGUAGCACGCAGCUCAAAGGGACAUGGCUUAUCUACUGAUUCACAUCUAAGGUCCCAUCUACUGAUUCACAUCUACGAUACUAUCUACUGAUUCAUAUCUAAGGUCCCAUCUACUGAUUCACAUCUAUGAUACUAUCUACUGAUUCAUAUCUAUGGACACUAGUCUGGUCCGAUGCAGUCUCCAUGAUGGCGUUUCACGAGUAUGUGAGAACCAGGCACAGACCGUUACUUACUGAGAAACGGCCAUAUUCUUCUUACUGCAAAGGUCCAAAGGUGCUUGUCUUCUACUCCAGCAUCAUUAAACGUCUUCAAAGCUUCUUUAAAUCCAAACAAAAUACAAUCAAACGAUCAAACUGACGUCAUUGGUGCAUUCAGGUGCAGUCGGACAAGGAAGUUGUGUUCAGGAGCGUCUGAAAUCCUAGUAUCCGUAAUGUAAAUUUCCAACGAAAAUUUUGGGGGGGCACACGGGGUGGCCAAUCAGAUCACGGAAGAUCCGUCACUGUUGGUUAGCCGUAACAACUUGCUAAAUAUCUAGCUUCUGCUGCUGAGAAAAAGCUAAAAUUAGCAUGGAUUAGCAACCCUGUUACUGUGAUUAGACUAGAGUUAGCAAACAAAACAUGGAAUAAAAAUGGUACCAUUGACGUGUAAGCUGAGCCAUUCAAGACUUUCAUAGUUUAUUAUCUAUUGUUGAUGAAUAUGGAGCAGAAAACCUGAAAAGAGAAGAUUUACUUUUCAAAAAUUUUGCAGCCCAAAUGUCCUCCAAUUCUGGAAUUACCCAGCCACUGUUGGAGAGGUUGGCUGAUUAUCUGCUGUAUACUGAAUACGUCUUCGCUGAUUGUAUUAAUGGCACAACAAAUGCACACUCUGCUGGAGGAGAUUCAAUAAAUUCAGUAGACUCAGCAGCACAAGCCCAACACAGUAGUCUGCCAUUGUUACUGUUGUCAUCCAGUUCACACAACUAGAAUAAAAGUAUAAUGCACAAAGCGAAGCAUGACUUCAGUGUUCUCACUGAAAACUCUGGCUACUCGUUCACACAGCGACAGCGGUCGUGUUUCAGAAAAAUUCCACCUUCGAGGCCGUAGUCAAAGCUUAUCAUUUUAGGUUGUCCAAAAUGCUGGUUCUGUAUAAACGGGAGCCUGCAAUGCAACUAAACCUUUGCAUUUCACCCUAAAAAUGUUUUCGUGUAAACUGGCCCUGAAAGUGUCUGAGGUUAAAGAUUGCCAAUAUGGUGAUGGCAUGUGGCUGUGCCAAUGGUCUAUACGCCCAGCCACAGUGUGGUGAUUAUUCAUGGACCGUUUUGGCCACCACAACACAACUGUUGCUACCUACCCAUCCCAUUCACCAAAUUUUGCUCCCUGUGCCUUCCAUCACUCGUCCUCAACAUAAAUUGAAUGUAAAUCUUGGAACUUUUUGAUCAACUCUUGUAUUAGUGCUCAGCGUCUAUUGCCGUGAAUGUGCUACAUAUAGCAAUCGAGGAUAGAAAAGGUUAAAAAAAAGCACUUUGUCUGCAUUUCUUAUAUGAAUGGCGCUAUACAAAUAAAGCUUUUUGAACACACAGUUCAUGCACUUAGUUACUUUCACCACAAGGACACCAUGAAUGUAGGCGACUUCGCUCUUUAGCUGACAUUAAUGACUGAUUCCUGACAUUCUUUAUAAUGCAAAUGACAGACCAAAUUCUUUCUCUGAAAACGGCUCUUUAAAGUAAGAUCUUUAGAACUGAUUUUUUAAAUGAACAAGACAACCACUCAUAGUAGCACGAGAACAUAGACGUGCAUUUUAGAUGAGGAGAGUAGACGUGUAGGUGGUUCAGGUGCACAUGUCCAUUCUGAUUGGCUGUGUCAGAGACGGGGUGGAAGAGCAGAGUUGCAGGGGACGGCGACCAUCAGCAGGAAUUAAAGGUCACUGCAAGGUUACGACCCCCAAUCAAUACCAGCUCUAACCCGUCACAGGGCAGUCCUACUACGUGAAUGUAAACACUGUGACAAUAAUGAUCCCUCUUCCCUCUCCUCAGUGUCACAAAGUAUUCAAUUGACCAGAGAAAACAAGCAGGGCUGUAUCUGAGGUGUCAGGCGGUUAGGUGACAAUUAAAUGUUAAACCUGUGCUCCGACAGAAAUCAAACUAAUAUCAAAUUGCGUUGAACAUUCUCUGAUUGUGGCAGCUGUAAGAUAAGUCUCAUUGCAACAAAUACUUGCUCUCAUUAAAGGUUUUUACAUUUUUUUCUAGGCUGUUUCCUAGGUUGCAGAACUUUCAUAAUUUUAUCAAACGAAUUUGAGUUUGAUACACCAAUCAGCUGAAAACUUACAACCACCAUACCGAUGAAACUAAUUACAUGGAUUGUUUCAACUAUGAUAUAUUACAGUGCCCAUCCAAAAAAAGUUGCACACUGUAAUAUUUUGUUAGACCACCUUUAGCUUUGAGAAUGACACACAUUGGCUGUGGCAUAAUUUCGAUAAGGUUCUGCAAUGUCACAGCAUUUAUUUCUGUCCAGAGUUGCAUUCAUUUUCUACCAAGAUCUUUUAUUGAUGACGGGAGAGUCGGACAGCUGUGCAAAGUCUUCUCCAGAACAUCCCAAAGAUUCUCAGUGGGGCUGAGGUCAGGACACUGUGGAUCCAUGUGUGAAAAUGACGUCUCAUGCUCCCUGAACCACUCAUUCACAAUGUGAGCCCCAUGAAUCCUGGCAUCACCAUCUUACAACAUGCCCAUGCCACCAAGGAAGAAAAACUCCAUUGAUGGAAAGACCUGGUCAUUCAGUAUAUUAAUGUAGUCAGCCGACCUCAUUCUUUGGGAACAUAACGUUGCUGAAGCUGGACCUGGCUAACUGCAGCAACAGCAGAGCACUUGUACAUAGCAGUGUGCGCCAAUGACGUCGGACCAUCGGUCAAAUCCAAUUUGUGUACCAAAAGUCCGGUAAAACUUACUACAUUACUGGUCUCAUGUCCAGUGUAAUUUUUUUCCUGUAACCCCGAAGUUCCACAUAAUGCGAUCGCGCCGCGUCGCGCAACGGAACGAAGCACCGCUGUCUUGCUCCGAAAGUCAAAGCACACAGCAAGCGCAGCGCAGCGGCGCGCCGUCCGGAUGGGGAGGGCUGCUCCUCAGAGAGGCUCUCGUGUGAACAGCGAUAUCACGCGAUAAAAACGCAUGAUAUAAACAGAAAAUAAAUAAACCACACCUCAUUUCGCUUCUACAAGGUCGCUCUGCUUGACCCAGCCACAUUGCUCUGUGAUUUAUAGUACUUCUAGCAUGGUUGAGUACAUGAUUUAUGUUUUGAUCUCAAAUGAGUGCUUUUCUUUAUCCAAUAGUUAAUUUUGUAUGGUUUAUUCUAUAUAAAAACGGUAAUUUCUCUUC